UACGUAGGUGGCAAGCGUUGUCCGGAAUUAUUGGGCGUAAAGCGCGCGCAGGCGGUCCUUUAAGUCUGAUGUGAAAGCCCACGGCUCAACCGUGGAAGGUCAUUGGAAACUGGGGAACUUGAGUGCAGAAGAGGAAAGUGGAAUUCCAAGUGUAGCGGUGAAAUGCGUAGAGAUUUGGAGGAACACCAGUGGCGAAGGCGACUUUCUGGUCUGUAACUGACACUGAGGCGCGAAAGCGUGGGGAGCGAACAGG
rnacentral:rRNA from 1 species